UACAGAGGGUGCAAGCGUUGUUCGGAAUUAUUGGGCGUAAAGGGCGCGUAGGCGGUGCGGUAAGUCUGUAGUGAAAUCUCUGGGCUCAACUCAGAGUCUGCUAUAGAAACUGCCGUGCUUUGAGUGUGGGAGAGGUGAGUGGAAUUCCCGGUGUAGCGGUGAAAUGCGUAGAUAUCGGGGAGGAACACCUGUGGCGAAAGCGGCUCACUGGACCACACUGACGUGAGGCGCGAAAGCUAGGGGAGCAAACAGG
rnacentral:rRNA from 1 species